UACGUAGGGCGCAAGCGUUGUCCGGAUUUAUUGGGCGUAAAGAGCUCGUAGGCGGUCUGUUACGUCCGCUGUGAAAUCCCCAGGCUUAACUUGGGAACUGCGUCUGAUACUGGGAGGCUUGAGUGCGGGAGAGGGAUGUGGAAUUCCAGGUGUAGCGGUGAAAUGCGUAGAUAUCUGGAGGAACACCGGUGGCGAAGGCGGCAUCCUGGACCGACACUGACGCUGAGGCGCGAAAGCUAGGGGAGCAAACGGG
rnacentral:rRNA from 1 species